rnacentral:rRNA from 1 species
AUGAAGGUUCAUUUGUCACUGAGAAGAUUAAAUGCCACUUUCCGGACUGCAAGUGCUCAUUUUGAAAGGUUGGGAUCCAAGUCACAACCGUGGUUGCAGCCGGGAAAGUGGGAGAUGAAGCUAGUGUCGGUGUGGAAAUGGUUCAUCCUCGCGACGACAUCUUAUCAGUUACGGAGAUUGCAGAAGACACGGAGGAGUAAAUGCCCGCAAUUUUCGAUGCUCAUUGCCCCGCUCCCUGAACCUGCAUAUUGUUUCUCACAUACUGGAGGUGAUUCAUCACUUGGGCACUUUGAGGCGAGGAUCUCUCCUCGAGGACCAUGUUCUGGAGUUCUGUAUCAAGCCCGGAAUGAUGGAUAUAUCAGAUUUGAAUCUUCUGGCGGGAUACAAUCGUCUAACCGUCUUGCUAAUCUAUUUUUGAGGCUGAGGGCAGUCUGA